CGACCGGGCGCCGUGACGGGCGCUGCCCGCGUGUGCCCCCCGGCCCGCGGAGCCCCGGCCGCCGGGUGAAGGGCCGGGCUGGGGGCUGCCCGCGGUGCGAAACACCUCCCGUCUGCCCCGGUGGAUGUGCUUAGAUACAAAUGUUUAUAUCCGCGGAUAUGCGAGUAUCCGGCUAUUGUCGCAUCCAGCUACUAAAUAACAACCCUUUAACAAAAAAAAAAAAAAAAAAAAAAGGAAAAAGAAAAAAGAAAAAAAAAAUCCAAAACAAAACACCCCACACAAGCCAUAACGACGAUGAUGAUGCUGACGGGAGGGGGGGGGAAAUAAAUAAAUAAAAGCGAGCGAGAGUCGGCGAGGGAGAGGGAGGCAGGUUCAAUUAUCUAAACAAAGAAAUCAUGGCGGAGUGUUUACAUUUGGCUGCCCAAAGCCUGUCGGAUUACGGACCCCCCCCCAAACACACCCGGCCCCCCCGGCCCCCCGCAGUAGCGGCGUGCCGCAGCCCGCCCGCCGACACCUCGCCGCGGCCCGGAGUCUGAAACAGCUGCUUUGAAGAGAUCUUUCACAUGAAUGACUAGGCUGUGAAUUGCUAAGUUCCUGGUUUGCUAUGGAUACAACUGUUUCAUUUUCCUGCUGCUGCAUCCUGUUAUUCUUCCCAAGAUUUUUGUGCAGAACAGGGCAGAGAGAACUCACCUGCAGCCAGUGGAUUUGACUGUUGAUAAGAAGGAACAGAUGGCAGCACCAUUCUGUCUCAGCACCAAACACUGUCUGGGAGAUGUAUGCAAUGUAAAAAGCAUCCCUGUGUGGAGAAGCAGAUAGUGCUCCUGCAAAGGGGUUAUGAGAAAGGGUGGAAAUUCUGAUACCUUUUAUUAGAAUUGCACAGAAGUAGGAGAAUCCUCACAGAGUCGCAGACUCCUUUCUCUGUUGCCUUUGAAAAGUUAACACAUGUGAGGCUAUGCAAGAAGCAGACACUACAGUGGAGGAGGAGGGAUGUGGCAAUAAAGGACAAGAGGAAACCAGGAACAAGCUGUUGAUCUCUGUAAGUUUCAUUAGCUCUCUCACGUCCCCUCCUUUAUUUCUCUUCAGUAAAGUAGUCAGCCUCAGUCUUCACAGACUUUCCUUCAGCCACUAAUCAUUUUUGUUGCCCCUUUCUAUUUCAGCUUUAUGUUUUUUUUAGAUGAGUUGAAUGUAGCUUAAUACAGGAUUUCUGACAGGAUACAAUAUCCAGCUAUUCAGUGACGUAACACUUGAGCAUUAAUUUCUGUCUCAUUCUUUAUACAGUCCAACAGUGUAUUUACUUUUUCUGACCACUGCUUCCAGUUGUUUUGCUUUUUCAUUGAGCUGUCCAAAGUGGCACGUUUUCUCCUCCUUCUCUUUUUCCCGAGUGGCUAGUUAAUUUACAGCCAAGCGUUGUGCAUGAGUAUUGAAAAUUAUUCAUUCAAAUGUGCAUUACCUUGCAUUUAUGAACAGUGAAUUUCAUCUGUCUUCAUGCUGCGCAUCUGUCUAGUUUUUCUAAUCUUUUGUAAUCAUAAGUAACCUAAAUAUUUUUGCGCCCUGUGCAAAUUUUAUCCCCUUCCCCUCUCUUUUGCAGAAUGCUAAUGAAUAUAUUAAACAACACCAGUCCUAAUACUGACUACUGCAGCACUUUAUGGUGAGCCUUUUAGCAAGCUAGCAAUCAACAAUUUAUUUCUACCCUUUUGUUUCUGUCUUUGGCUGUCUUUGUUUAACAAACAUUUAUUUUCAAAGCAUUACUAUUUCCAAGUGUUCUGUUGAGAGCCCUCCCACAGAGUGCAGGGACAAAUGCAUGACUCUGACCCCACAUGUCCAGUGACAUCUAACACUGAUGCUCUAAAUACAGUGUUUGCAGGGCUGCUAAGGCUACAAGCAGGUCAACUCCACUGCAGAGCAGUAGACUUGAUUAGUCUCUGGAAAUAGAGAUGCAGGUACUGGCAGAUUUGACUCAGCCUAUUCCAUAUCCAAAAAGAAAAGGGAGAGGUGAGAGAGACUGAUUUAUGCAGCUUGCUGAAAAGAGACUUCUUUUUCUUUUUUUAAACCCUGGCUGUAAAAACAAAACUGCUGCCCAGCCAGAGUAAGCAGUCAUAUACCACAGGUCCCCUUACAGUAAGACUGAUGUUCUGCACUGAGGUUCAAGGAGCAAAACAAAUAACCCUGCUCCCAGUGCCAUGAUUUGAAUUUGCUUUCGGCCAGUUGGUUACCAGCUUUCAAGGGACCAUUGACAUGCCUAUGGUGCUGCCUGGAGCAAAUUGCAACAUAUUUGGUGCUGAAACAUGCAUUGUGUAGUGAUUAUUAUUAUCGUCAUAACCUCUGUUUCAUAUUUGAAUGCUGCUGGGACAUGGAGAACAAUGGUCAUCCCUUGCUUUGUUUUUCUUGCUUGGCUUUAAUGGCUGGGGUUUGAUUUUGUCAACAGACAGUACUUGUAACUUUUGUGAGCUUUAGUUUCUUCCAGCCAUUGAAAUUAAUUGUCUUGUAGCUCUUUGUCAGACAGAGAUGUGUUCGCUUUGUGAAUUGGAAAUUGAGAGAUGGAAGUAUUCUGACAGCUCCCAGGGAAGGAUGGAAACCCUCCUAUUCACAACCUACUCAUCACAGCACUGGGGAGAAGAUUCAUGUACCUAGUGCGACAGGAGGGGCAGAGCAGGGCAAGGACGUGGCAGCUUGCAUCAUUCCCCUGCUGCUGGCAAGGCAAGUCCCUUGCCACCAGCCACUCUCUGCACUCAGUUCCCCGCAGGGCUCCGUUUCCUGCCCUCACUCCUUCCUGUGCUUGAGUGGUGGCUCCUACCUUAAAGCAGCUAUUUUCAAGUUUUAAUAAUGUUUUGCAACUCAUUUCCUGUUUCUUAGCUGACAGCCUUUCCAAAAGUAAUCUUUGGCAGGUACUAAUUUGGGUGAUGACCACUUGAUCUACAUUUUUGGUGGGUAAUUACUGAGUCAGAAGUGAGCAAAUUUGAUAUCCCCUGACAGUCAGUAAGGCGGGCAUAUUUACUACCCACUCAUUAAAGAUUCACUGGUGGUGAAAUGCCCUAAAGUUUGCACUCCUCUCACACAUGAGAAAAAUUUGUCUGUUAAGUCCCAGAAGUUACCACUUACGUUUAUUUUGUCAGAUUUACAGAGUCUAAGAUAUGUUGGCACUUUGAAAAACAACUUUUUUUAAGACCAGAUACCUUGGUGUAAUGAAACUACCACUAGAUCAAAAGUCCAAUUGUAUCUGAGGCUGGAUAGCAUCCUGCAUCCCAUAACAAAUCUGUUCCACAGACAUGUUGUUUUACAGUGAUAACUGAAUCUCAAAAAUUUGGAGGUCUGAUUUGCACAAAUGCUGAUAAGUUCGCAAACCAAUGCCGAGCUCCUACAGCCACCAGAGCCAGGUUCAUUGGAAUGCUCUGGCAGCUUUGCUUCACUCUAGUGAUACAAAGCAGCUGUAAAUCCGGUUGUGCUGGCCUUACGUUGUCAGAAUGGCCAGAGUGUACCAGUGAGUCCUGCCCUCUGUACUGCUAUUGCAAUGAAAUUGGGCUGGGUAUCUACAAAGGGAAAAGGGAGGCUGUUCUGAGAUUAUCAGCACAGCUUGCUUCCUUGCAUUACUUUAGUACUAGUGUCUGCUUCCUAUAAGAUCCUGUGCAAAAGCGAGCGAAAAGAAAACAUAAUGUGGGAAGAAAUAGCCAGACUUCUUUUCAAAUGUCAAAUGUCAAAGAAAUUCAGAUUUAUUUUGAGUUUUAGAAGAAAUGUGGGAAAGGAAUAUUUGCCAGAUUCUUGCCCUCCCCUCCUGGCUUCUAUGAACUACCUUUCAAUUCCCUCUUCCCCAGUAAGUUUUCCCAAAUUGUAGAGAUCAAGUCCCUACUGCAAAUCCUCUGAGAAGUCACUUAAGUAGAUUGAGAAUCUAAAUGAAACUCAAUCUUUGUUUCUGAAGCAAGAAGUAGCUGGUAGAGUGUCUAGUUUUUUCCACUUUCCUUCCACGGUACCUAAAGAUAUUGAAGCUAUUAUGAACGUGACAAGGUACAAUACUUGCCUUAAAACCUCCAACAAUACCGUUUGUCUCCAUCUUACAACUUAUUCCUCAGCAUGGGCUGAGAACUUUUCCUGACCACUUGCACUUCCAGCUGUCCAUCAUUUGGCUUGUGCAUUGGUGUGCAUGCUCAGUCCCCCUCAGCUGUGCUUGUGGCAUCAUCACCUUUAUGACAGCACUGAGGAUAGAAUCCACAGUGCUUAGUAUGUGGCUCUUCAGGUUUCUUGUGAGCAAUAUUGAUUAAAUUCAUUUAGUCUCUUAAUGUGGUUUAAAUACAUAGGGUUGGUUGUCUGGUCCGUAUGCAGAGAGGACAGAAAACAGAUCCCCUAGAAUUCCAUCAGAAUUCAUUAGGGUUUUGAUGAAUAGCAACUGCUAAGAAAUUGUCUCCCAGGACUUGGAAAUUAGUCAGUACCGAACCAUACAGAUGUCAAAUCACCUAAAGAGAAAACUGAGAAAAGCUGGCUGAGAGAAUAAUCUGUUACUGAAAUCUGCAGAAUUGGUUUUUAAGGAAAAACAGAUAGAAAGAAAGAAAGAAAGAAAGAAAGAAAGAAAGAAAGAAAGAAAGAAAGAAAGAAAGAAAGAAGGAAGGAAGGAAGGAAGGAAGGAAGGAAGGAAGGAAGGAAGGAAGGAAGGAAGGAAGGAAGGAAGGAAGGAAGGAAGGAAGGAAAGAAAGAAAGAAAGAAAAAAAGAAAGAAAGAAAGAAAGAAAGAAAGAAAGAAAGAAAGAAAGAAAGAAAGAAAGAAAGAAAGAAAGAAAGAAAGAAAGAAAGAAGGAAAGAAAGAAAGAAGGAAAGAAAGAAGGAAAGAAAGAAAGAAAGAGAAAGAAAGAGAGAGAGAAAGAAAGAAAGAAAGAAAGAGAGAGAGAAAGAAAGAAAGAAAGAGAAAGAAAGAAAGAAAGAAAGAAAAAGAAAGAAAGAAAGAAAGAAAGAAAGAAAGAAAGAAAGAAAGAAGAAAGAAAGAAAGAAAGAAAGAAAGAAAGAAAGAAGGAAAGAAAGAAAGAAGGAAAGAAAGAAGGAAAGAAAGAAAGAAAGAGAAAGAAAGAGAGAGAGAAAGAAAGAAAGAAAGAAAGAGAGAGAGAAAGAAAGAAAGAAAGAGAAAGAAAGAAAGAAAGAAAGAAAAAGAAAGAAAGAAAGAAAGAAAAAGAAAGAAAGAAAGAAAGAAAGAAAGAAAGAAAGAAAGAAAGAAAGAAAGAAAGAAAGAAAGAAAGAAAGAAAGAAAGAAAGAAAGAGAAAGAAAGAGAAAGAGAAAGAGAGAAAGAGAAAGAAAGAGAGAAAGAGAGAGAGAGAGAGAGAAAGGAAGGAAGGAAGGAAGGAAGGAAGGAAGGAAGGAAGGAAGGAAGGAAGGAAGGAAGGAAGGAAGGAAGGAAGGAAGGAAGAAAGACAGGAAGAAAGAAAGACAGGAAGAAAGAAAGACAAAGAAAGAAAGGAAGAAAGGAAGAAAGGAAGAAAGGAAGAAAGAAAGAAAGAAAGAGAGAGAGAGAAAGAAAAAUACCCUCUGGUAUUUCCAGUCCCUGGGAUUGGACAUCCCACUUUCUUGGACUUGUAAAGAGCUUUCAGAGGGAGUAUGUGCAUAUGAAAUUAGCAGGGAGAAUAUUGAUUGUAGUCACUGAAUUUGAUUUCAUGGUUUGGAUUGAUUCAGUCUAAACACAUUGAGUUUGAAGGAUAUUCAACCACUUAUUUCUAAGUGGCAUUUUAUAAAAAUAUUACCCUGUAUUAACCCAGUGAACAGUAUUGUAAGUGGCACAGUUUAUGUUUAUUACACUUAUUGAACAGGCUCAAUAUUUCAUAUAAAAUAUAUGGUGGCAAUGGGAAAAAAUGCUUGUAAUUCUUCAAAACUGUAUCAGUCACUUCCUUCAUUGAACAUCCUGUCAAUAUGUGUGCUGUAUCGAAAGUAAAAUAUGCACUAAUCUAUAUAAUUGGCAAUGUGAUUAUCUUUUUAAUUGUGAAAACUAUGUAUGUAUCUUCUGUUUUGUGGUGAGGAAAAAAAAAAACAUCAAAAUAUCACCCUGUGUGAAGAAUGGCAAGGCAUGUUAUUUGGAAAGCCUUGUUCUAGUGAUCACCAGUGCAAGCAGUGCUGGUGGGCACCUGAACCGGUGGGACUGGGCUCCAAAUCCAGUUGGAGUUGCUGUGGGAUCCUUGUAUACCCACAUAAGAAGCAGGGCUGCUUUCUGGCACAGCUGCCCCCACAUGAUUUAAAUACAUGUUGAUUCUUGAGUGUGUUGUGUCCAUUAAAUGGAUGUAUUUUCCAAGUUAGGCAGCAUAUGCAAAUCAAGAACCUCAAGAAAAUUAAAAUAACCAUCUACAAAACAGACCAAAAAAAGUUCAGUUUUAUAUUUUUCUAAAACUGCUGUGUUUCAUAUUACCACAGCUUCCCAAAUUUCAAAUCCAGAUCAAAAUUUCUGUCAUCAAAGACUUUAGCAGUGGUCUGAUCUUUUUAUUUUUAUUUUUACUUUUUUUUUUUGUCCUUUUUUUUUUAUUAUUUAAAUCUGUUUUACUCUGUUAUUCUGAAGCUUCUGUGAGAUUUCCCCUAGAUUUUUUUUCCACAGGCAGAAGCCACCAUUUAUUUGCAUUUUAACCUAAGACUGGAUUUUGAACCUGAAAUUCAAGAUUACAUUCAAAAUACUGAUGUUUCCAAUCACAGAAAUAAUUAUCAAAUGUAAAGCUGAUCCAGAAUUAAUUUUGGAUUUGGGCCACCGUCAAAUUCCACAGGUUCUUAUAUCUGCUCCAGAUAGAUCAGGAAAAUGCUCUUGAAGCUUCAGGGCUAUGUAUAUGAACUUUCUUAAGCAAAGGAAAUGAUAAUGUAUAAGAGGAAGUAAAACGAUAAAAUAAAGUCCAGAAUUACAUAAAACAAAACCAAAAACCCAAACAAAAACCUGUGUGCACUUUAUAGACUGUAAGACUUGCUCUGCCAUUGCUGCUUGGGAGAAACAAGGCAAUGCAGGUCUAGUGAAAAUCAUCCAUCAACAAAACCUCUGCUCGAGCACAUCCUUUUUGCAGUUGGUGUUAGUUGAAAGUUAGUGUUUUCUCUCCAUGUUUUUACAUGCUUCAGCACCUCUUGGUUUAAAUAAGGGAGGGGAACACUCAAGUAAUAUCGUAUCUCUGAUUCUGUCAGGAGAAGGAAAUCCUGAAGACCUCACUCCUGAAAGUUUAUCUGAAAUAAGCCCUAUUUGAAGGUUCAUUCAACUUGCCUCAUUGUACAGCUGUUAUUAAUGUGAUUAAAUGACAGUGAGUACAUAUGUAAAAACCCAACCUCUGUUUCUUGUGUCUAUAAAUCUCAAUUCAAUAAAAAAGGAGAAAGGAUUCUUAAAAUCCAAAGAAAUAUCACAUAUAGCUCUUCUGCCUUUAUUUGGUAUGACAGCACUUUAUUUCCUUGAACAGACCAAUGUGGUGAAAAGGAUUCUAAAACAAUACUUCUGUAUAACCUAUCUGCUAAAGCUGCUGUGAAAUUCCAGUUUUGUGUAUUUAACCUCCCUGUUUUUAUCUUCACUGGAAUAAUUCUAAAACAACUUCAGUUGUUCUUCCCUAAAAAUUGUAAUCUCAUUAUUCUUUUUUUCCCCUCCCCUCUUUUUUCUCUUGUACAGUUAUCCAGUAUUCAGCUGAAAUGCAGAGUCAUUACAGCAGGAGGUGCUGAGCAGACUGGUGAUCUGGAGUGGUGAUGGAAUUAUAGCUUUUGUUUCCUUGGAAAAAGAGGGGGAAAAAAAAAAAAGAGAAGAGAAGAGAAGAGAAGAGAAGAGAAGAGAAGAGAAGAGAAGAGAAGAGAAGAGAAGAGAAGAGAAGAGAAGAGAAGAGAAGAGAAGAGAAGAGAAGAGAAGAGAAGAGAAAAAAAGAAAAAUAACAUAAAAAAAAGAAAAAGAAUGUCCAUUUGAAUAAACAGUGAUAAUAAUUUUAUCUGAAUAAAUCUUUAAUAAAUUGAAAUUAUUACUGCAGGCUUAAAUAAGCGGUAAGAUUUGACAAGAAGGGCAUUAUCAUCUAAUUAUACUUACUUUAUGAAAGAGAGGGGCAAGGGCCAACCUGUGAGCUGUCUGAACUGCAGUAAUAGAGUGAUCCCCUCUGCAGACUAAAGAAGGAGCCAUCAGACAACAAUAACACACAAGCGGUGCACUGAACGUUGCAGUGGAAACCAUGAUUCACAGAUACACUGUCUUAAUUGUUACGGAAGCGAGUAGAGUGGUACGGAAAGUGCAUGGCAGAGCAGCCUUUGCUGGAUGGAUGAGAGGAUCCCGUGCCAGAUAUUAUAUGAUACUCCUGAAGGUUUCUUUAAUUAUCAGCAGUCAGUGCUGUGUGUGAGCUUCCUAUUGGCUCAGCGCUCAGCAUAAAGCCGCGUAUCUGCAUUGCAAACAGGUGUACAGGUAGAACUGGUACGUAAAUUACCUUCUUCCUGAGGGCAUCUGCCUUCCUAGGAACACUUAAGAAAUGCUGAGAAGACACCUGUGAGCGGCUCUAUUGGUGUCUCAUAUUCUGCUGUUGGCACUGGAUUAUAAAGAGCUGUGCCCACUGAAACAUCUUGCCUUUCUCAUACGAGCAGUGGGAAAAAACAGGGAAUCAAUAAACGGAAAAAUCAUUGCCUGCUAAUGUUCACAAUCUCUUUGAACGUUGGAUUUGUUUGGCAAAUAGGACUGACUUGUUUAAAACCUCCACAUGAGACAUUUAUUUCACAGAGAGCAAAAAAGAAGAGUGAUCAUCAUAAUCUGCUGGAAUUAACAACCUAGCAUAGCUCUUGGCUUAGAUUAACUGCUGCAUUUAUGGUGUACUCCAAAAAGCAGUUCUCUUGUGUAUGUACAGACUGUUUUGUUUUGCAUAUUUACAUUUUUUAUUUAUGAACUGUUAAUCUCAGCCCUCCCUAGAUUAUGUCCUUAUGAUACAUAUUUUUUCAUACUCACCUGGCGACAUAUGAGCUUUUCUCAUUAGAAUCUUGUCUCACUUAGCACUUAGGUUGGAACAACACCAUGCAGCAGGGAAAGGCACUGUCUUUCAUCCCCUGCAGAAGUCCAUCCAUCCUUCUCAGCCCUCGUAGACAGGCCUGAGCCAUUUUGGUCACCGCAAGCAAGGAGCUCCAGGCUGCGGUGGGGACAGCACACACACAGGCAGGACAGUGAGGGAGUGCAGAACUUUGGGAGGCUCUUCCAGAGCUGCACAAUGAAGAGAAGGCCAUGGACAAAGUAAUGACUUCUCCACUCUGUCUUUUGAAAACAGCUUGGCAACUCUGGUGGGAUCAUCCCCAAACAGUGCAGCAUGCAGCAGAUAUUGAGCAGGUUCAUUGAGGCCAGACUCUGAUAUCAAAGGUGAUAUGAGUGACUGACAUGGCCACACCACCACGGCAGCGUGGAGGGCUAUGGUCACACACACUCCCCCAUUGUUUCCCAGGAGCAGUCAUAUCUCACCUUACCUCCCAGGGCUCAGAAGGAAGGCUAGAAAUAGAAACAUAUUACAGAUGUGCACUGGGGAUGUGGUUGGGCUUAGUUUCUGUUCCUUUCCCCGUUGCAAGGGCUAAGCAUGCUUUUGCAUUUCUGAAGGCUGGGACUGGCCGCUGUGAGCAUAAAUCAUGAUGGUAUGGUAAAAAACUGUGAACAGCGAGGUCCUUAAAAAAGAGAUGUUCAGACACCUUCAUCUGAAGUAACAGAAGAUGCCCCGCAGUUACUGUACACACUAGGUGUCAGUUUGCCUAGAUGUUGCUGCUUUCAUACAGCCUUUGGUACUUAAAUUCUCUCAUUUUGUAUAUAAUUCCCUAUAACGUGCCAACACUGCAGCCAAUAUAACUUCAUGUCUUUUUUCACUUGUGCCAGAAAGCUGAACAAGUGGGAUGAGGUUACGCUAAGCAAGAAGGAGAUCACUGGCAAGAAAGAUCUCAAAAGUUCACAGAAAAGCAAGAGAAAAAGAGACACAAAAAGAUCUUGUCAAGAAGAAUGCUCAGAGCACCAAGUUAUAUCUCCCUCGACAUAAACACAUACAGACAAAAAUGACUCACUGUGAGUCAGAGAGAGGGGUUUUAUUUACACCACAGAACUUGGAAAUAACAUUGCUGCCGAUUCUGUUCUGUUCAGUGAUGGUGGGUAUAAGCACAAGGCUGCUAACACUUCUGUAUGAAUCAACGUUUUAAAAUCACUCCUCCCUUCAGUCAGAACUGUUUUCUCGCUUAUGUGAAUUAACCUACCGAACUGGCACAUGAAAUAGUCUGUUUCAGUAUCUAUUACUGAAUAUGUUUUGGCCUGGAUCCCUACAGCAGUUAGGAGCUUGAGUUGUACUGAAAUCACUGAGCAGAGGGGGAAAAAGAAAGUAUUAUUCCUGCUCUUUUCUCUGAGUAACUUUCAGACCAUGACCUGUGGCCAAGCUUUGUGGGAGAAUCUGUCCUGGCACCCUCCUCCAUGGAGGUCCUGUGUGUGGGACACAGCAGUGAGGGAGAAGCAGGGCUGGGAGGUGCUGUGAGCAUGGGACAGAAUACACCUGGAUAGAAUACGUCCCUACUCUUUGUGAGGAGUGAACUGAGAUGUGCUCAUCUUUGACAAGGUGGAUACAUUUCUCCUAGAAAGAAAACACUUUUUGAUCUAGAAAAAACAUCUGAGCUGCUGAGAAAUAUUUUGAUAGAUGUUUCGUUGCCAUCCCUACCAGUCAUUCAUGUCCAACAUGUCCCCUGCCGCCAUAACAGAACAGCAAUACUUCACAAUGGCAAGUCCAGAUGCAUUUUGAAUGGGUGCUCUAUGGCUGGUGAUGUCUCCUGCUUGCCUCCCAGCUCCUACAGCCCCCUGUAAGACAGCAUGGUGAUGAGUCUGUUGUUGGAAUUUGGGACAGGCAGGGGACAUCACACAUUCGGCAGUAGAAAAGCUUUUCUUCUGUUCUCCUACAGAGGAACUCUCAACAAUUAUUUUUUUCUAAACAAAAUAUGAAGUUUGGGGCAAAUAUUUAGGGUGCAUUCAGAUGCCAAGUGUAAAGAGUGGGUGAGAAGGUGUGAUGUCUACAAACAGAGCCAGUACGCAAAACACUCAGUUAUGGACAUGGCCAAGGUAAAUAGGACUGCUGAAACUGUCUUAGCCCCCCACCGUCCUCAUGUGUGGGUUUAUAUGUGCCAGCAGAGCCAGGUUAACCUUAAUUGUGUGUUGUUUAACUUGGCUGUAAACGGCCAACCCUUUUUCUAACUUGGCUCCAAUUGCAGGUAUCACACCUUUCCACUACUGACCUUUCUUGUCUAAAUUGUUUUUUUAAUGCAUAUUAAAUAUUUUUGAUCUACUUUAAUUUCCUAUGGCUUUUUACUGCAGAAAAUGUUACAGAAAAUAUUUCUUCUGAUAGAAAGACAUAUUUUAAUAGCAAAAGUCUUACGUUCUCAAUAGCUGGGCAGGUGAGCAGGUUGUAGAAUCUGGUUCUUUCUGAAGGAAGUAGUGUCAGAAAACCUCACUGAAAUCUGAUGUACUGUUUUUUUCAGUGCAUUCAUUGGCAGAAGUAACAGGAGUGCAACUUCGUCACAGCUGCUAACUUACGCUACUGUCUGGCGGACUCCCCUGUACUGCACCCUGAUGUCUGCACAGAAGCAGAACGAUGUUUAUGGAAGCAGAUCAUAGAACCAUAGAAUGGCCUGGGUUGAAAAGGACCACAGUGAUCAUCGAGCUUCAACCCCCUUGCUAUGUGCAGGGUCGCCAGAUGAAUCAUUGCUGAGGUCCUACUGGUACCACAGUUAGUUUUGCAAAAACUGUAUUCAAGGUGGAAAAGAGUGGAAAAAUAAUUUGGAAUUCCUGAAAACUGGAAUGUUAUUCUGGUUCUCAUCAUUUUAAUCCCCACUGAGCCCAUCUUCUGUAAUAGAUGUCUUCUGCUAAUUAUUCCAUUGCCAGUUCAAGCUAUAAUUUUAGAUCACUCUGAGCAAGAGGUAUUAUCAGCUGAUUUGUUGGGACAGCUCUGAAGUGAAAGGAGCAGUGUGGUGGUGUGAUUUCAUCUAGUGCCUCCAGGUUAGCAUCUGAAAGCAGCAGCACUCCAGCCAUGAUUUGUUUUAAACCAGACUUAGUCUUCGUGCACUUUCUUGCUUAAAGUAUGGUAAAUAAAGGGCGAGCAUUUCUAAGGCACAGAGGGUAACUCUUCCACCGAACACCGGUGUAAGUCAUGUGUACAAUUCCCAUUUUGCUUUUUUGAAAGCACACGUCUCUGCUUUGCCCAUGUGCACACCCCACAUUCCCAUUCAACCCUCUGCACACAAUGUAAUUUCCUUCCAGUAUGACAAACCCUCUGCUGUAGCUGAAAUACACCGAGGGUAUUUUUGUCAAGCUGCUGAGACCAGGUUCUCCACUCCACUCCGCACUCGUGGGGUGAUCAGAUCCUGAAGUUAGCAGAGUCGCAUAAGACCUUAUUAGCCACUGCUGCAGGCGCUGUCUGUGUGCUCUAAAAACAACCAUGAGAACAGCAACUCAGCUGGGGAGAGCAUAUGCAACAGCCCUUUAAUCAUUGCGUCGGCUCAACAUGUCAUGAUGCGUAAGCUUUCUCAUCAAUGAGGCUGGGAACACAAAACCAGAGAACUUCUUAAAUAUUUCAAACAUCUGCGUCUCAUACUACCAAAUUACCAACAAAAAGGGGGGAAAAAAAGAGGAAAAAAAAAAAAAAAAGGAGGGAGAAAGGGAGAAAGAAAGAAAAACAUCUCCUGGAUCAAAAGUGUCCCUUAUCAGGAAAUGAAGGACAGGAACAAAAAUACCCUCCUCCUCCAUCUCCUCCUCUUCUUUUCCCACCUCAAACUCGACGACAGAAUUCUUUCAUCUGACGGCUCCCUGUAAAACGAGAGCGGGGUGUUUACAAACGGGGCUGCCCAGUGCACACCGGCAGGAUGCAGCCCGGCAGCCCCAGCACAGCAGCGGGCGGCGCGGGGGGAGCAGCGGCCACAAGGUGUCUCUAUGGGUGUCUGUGCGGGAUGCGCUGCGCCGAGGGUUUCAAACGCCUUCCCAUCCCUCCCUGCCCGCUCUCUGCAGACACCGAACCCUCAAACUCUUAGGAAAAGGGAAUGCUGUAUAAAGAUUUCUUGAUUUUUGUUUUAAAUCACAAGGAAAGGCGGGUGGACCUGGCUUAGGUCUUGGGCUCUGUGCCUUAGCCAGCUGUAUAUUCUCCUCUGUACUUAGGCAGAGAAAGCGCAGCAGUGAGGAUAAGUGUUUGCUGAGAACACCGAAGGAAUUAGUUUCAGAGGUGGGAGAGGAAGGCUGGCAUCCCCCAGUCCCAGGCAUGUGUGCUGCAGACUGCUGCAUUUUGGCUUGGCUGGGGUUUAAGGCUCGCCACUGAGGUCAUGCAGGAAAUGCAACGCUGAUACCAUUUUGCAGGAGCUCUCCAUUGGCACGAUCCACGUCUCUGAGAAUACAACAGUCCAUCACUAAUCCGAUCAUCUUUCUGUGACUGAAGGGUCCAUGCAAUUAUAAAAAAAAAAAAGGGGGGGGGGGGGGGGGGGGGAGAUGAUUUGAAUGCUGUAUCCCUCAUGUGGAAUUACGUUUGGACUUUAUCCAAAGAGACAGGGAAGGGAUUUUGUUGUUUUGUUUGAUCACUUCUUGCCACGGAACUUUGUUUGACUCGAACCACAAUGAUACAAGCAUUCAAACACCACCUUCAGAUGUAAUAUUGAUUUAUAAAACAGCAGCGCACAGCUGCUGAAUUUCACUGUUGCAUGCAGAAGGUCUUCAACUCCCAACGAAUUACUGGCAUUUUUACCUAUUUACAAAUUAAUUUUUCCUCUGAACUUUGUGUGUUUCUUAUUAUUCCAGUCUGCUUUCUUUAGUUUCUGCUUAGAAACCUUGCACGAGUGCAUUAUGCAGUGAUAGGGCAGCUUUAGAGCAUCAGUUAAAUUGGAGUUAAACAAAAAAAAUCUAGAUCAACUUUUUAUCCUUAGGCAAGUUAUGCACUGAGUAAAAUUAAACCACUGUAUGUACUUGUAAAUCGAAGAACCAGGGGUGGAGGAUGGGUCAGAAACACUAAGAUCAAAGUUUUCCCUCUUUGAAAAAAAUCCCUUUGAAAAGCCCCCAUGCCACCUAUUCUGCUUGUUAAUGUUUUGACUGGAAGUGUCUGGCAGUGUCAUCAUCAGCAGAAUAUUUUUAAAGAGGUUUUUUUUUUCUUUUUUUUUUUUUUUUUUUUCUCAGAGCUGGCUCUAAUAGCAAACCUAUGGAUCCUUAGCAGCCUCUGUUAUAUGUCUCUUAGGGGAAUAUUUUUGUUAAUUGCAAAUAUUUGAUUGACAAACAUGGGAUGCAAUUAGUAGGCAGGCACAGUAGGAAUGUGCAGUGAACUGGAUCUCUGAACCAACAGAUCUCAACUCUCUCAGCUUGAUCUGAAAUAGGCUAGAGCAUUUAAACCAUAUGUUUCCCUCAAACUUUUUCUAUCCUCUGAAAAUUCCUUAUUUCCCUCAACUAACCUCCUCUCACUCUCUGCACCAAGGGAGCUAAUUCAUCUACUGUGAUCGCGUCAAAUAAAGACAGAAAAUUCUACACAAGCUUCAGACUUAUGCCGCUUUUUGACCGUGGCAGUAAAAAUUAAUGUGGACAAGACUAUACAUGCCAGUUGUGCCUCACAAAAGCCCUAGGUGAAAGAGAAUACAAUCUAAUUUAACUUUAGACAUUUUGAGCUUAAUGGUCUAUUUAAACAACCUGGUACCAUCUGACUACAUUUAUCAAUUAUAUUUCUUUUUAUUUAUACAGAGUACUGUCUUUCUGGGGAGGCUAUAAUUAAAACUUAUCUAGAUAAAUGGUGCUCGGAUUCUGCAGCAUGAGCAAGAAUUCAAAGGACAUCGGUGUUUUUAUGUGCUCUUUUCCAUAAAAAGUUUAAAGGGAAAUACAUUUCAAUAAUUAGAAUAACCUAAUUGCACGAGUUUUUAUAAUUACAUCUAGAAGUUAUCAGCAGGAAAUGCCAUGUGGUCUGCAGACUGUGGUGUUGACAUCCCAGAAGAAGCCCUUUCUGACCGAGCAGUGCCUUUUCUCAUGGGGUAGGCUGCUUGUUGCUCCCUUCUUAUGGCAAAGUCCCUGAAGGGAAAGCUAUCCCUCAGAAAUACACUGGCUCUUAUGGUUUGAGGACAUUCCGAGCUCUCUGGCUGGGGUGUCAGAAUGACCCCCACUGCAGGUGGCUCCACUCCCCGCUCAGUGUGUGGUGCAGUGUCAGGGUUCUAUUCUUUGCAGGUCAAUUGUAAGAGUCCAUUUCCCAGAUACUGAGAAGUACAGACCCCAUUGGGCAACUUUCUGCAGCUGGAGUAGUUGUGUUGGCAACAUAGACAGGUUUUGUAGGGGGUGGUGUUGCAUUGUCAGGGGGCAAUCAGAGGGAACGGAGAGGUCACCUUCUCCUAACUAUUGUUUUUAGUGAGUGGAAUCCACCAGUCUUACCAUGGCCUGAUGUUAGUCAUGGAAGACCUCCAUCUUUGAGUGCUGUGGCAUGCAGCCAUAUGGGUAGCAUGAGUUCAUAUGUACGUCCACCAUCACACUCCAUGAAAGCACGUAUAUUCAUAAAAGCACAUGAAGGUGCUGAUGAAACUCUGCUCAUUUCUGAAGGGCCCAAACCCCCCAGUAUUUCUCCUACAGGGAACUGCUCCCGUGAUUAAGGCUGACUCACGUAAGUGUUGCAAGAUCCAGCCUUUAAUUUGCAAAUCCCAAUAACGAUAUAUGUUAAUCAGACACUUCAUCAGUGAAAAGAGUCCUAGAUCUGUAGUACGGUGAGGCUAUAAAUAUAAGCUAGAUUCCUUUAAAACUCCCUUGCAGAAUUUUGUCCCUAGAAGGGAAAGUGUUAUCUUGGUGCUGUCUGAGUCCUGACUAUAAGAUUUCAAACUCAUUAUAAGCAGCCCCACAGAACUAGCAAAACAAUUAUUUCCGACUGUAACACUUCGUGCCGCGUAUCUGUAACCCUCUUACUGAAGCAGGAUUUAACAGAGACAUUCACACUGCACUCUUUUUAGGAGGUUGGGCAGUAUUUUUACAGAAGGGCAGAUGAGGAAGGUCCACUGCAAAGCCACAGUAAUUUAGACAGAACUGCCUGAUGAGCAGCUUUGGUGUACAACAGAGAUGUGAAUGCUGGACCAGGUGCACGCUUGGACUUGCCGAGGUCGCCCUCAGUGGGACCAGUCCCCUGCAGAUAAUUUUUUUCCACACUGGAGCCGCUGUUGUGUCUCUCUGUUCAAGCGCUUGACAGAAAAUGUCCACAGUCGGGCUGUGCAUAAUGUAUACUGUCAAUUUGUAUGAUCUUUCAGUGCAACCGUGUGAAAGGGGGACUCUGUCUCAGGUUUUCCCUUCGCAGCACCACAGUUUAAAUGUUACUGUUUUGUCAUGUUAAUGUAAUUCACUUAAAAUACUUAAAUUGUCCUUAGCUAAUUGGGGAGGGGGAGAUGAUUAUUGUGGCAAACUCGUAGCAUGCGGUGUUCAGAGCGGUGCUGACACCAUUUUGGUGAACACAGGUGAUGAAUGGUGUUGACAUGAGCGGCUGCAGUUACACAGUGUGCGUAUACACAAAUUAUACCACCAUGUGUGUUCCUCUCUGUUAUGAAAGCCUUUUGUUUAUAUAUACCCAGCUAUACAUUUACACAUUAUGUAAAUAAACACACAUAUGCCCAUGCAAUUUAAUUGAAUAUAUGUCUGUGGGUUAAGAGGCAUGUUACUCUGAUGAAAACAUCUUAUGGUACCAAGUAAAAAUAUUUCCAACGUGCUUCUGAGCCUCCUGUAGAAUUUAAGAAGGAACUGCAGAGCUUUCCUUAAGGUAAUGUUUAGAGUCAUUCAACGCGAGGGCAUGGCGUUCUUCCAAAACCUGUAGGCUGUUGAAUGGCACUCUUAGAAACCCAUGAGGUCUCAUUUUUACUCAGUUCCGUCUAGCCUUACUCAGCUAUGAGCUUUGCCAUCGAGCUUUGGUUCAUGCACAAUGGAACGUUAUGUUCAGAGUUUUGUCUCAGAUUAGGUAUGUGCUCUUCGAGCAGUGUCCGUGUGGAUUAGUCCUUCCAAACACCACCUCCCUAAAACCAGCACAACACCUACGGGUGGCACGGAGUGUGCAACUCCAGCUACAGUGAGUCAGCUUUGGGGCUGGGCGGCAGGGAACUGGGGAGGUGGUCUCCUGUUGGAAAAUGCCUUGGGGAGCUGCAGGGGG
rnacentral:lncRNA from 1 species